rnacentral:rRNA from 1 species
GUGGGGAAUCUUGCGCAAUGGGCGGAAGCCUGACGCAGCAACGCCGCGUGGGGGAUGACGGCCUUCGGGUUGUAAACCUCUUUCGCGAUCGACGAAGGCCCGCUUUCUGCGGGUUGACGGUAGGUCGAGAAGAAGCACCGGCCAACUACGUGCCAGCAGCCGCGGUAAUACGUAGGGUGCGAGCGUUGUCCGGAAUUAUUGGGCGUAAAGAGCUCGUAGGCGGUGUGUCGCGUCGGCCGUGAAAACCUGGGGCUUAACUCUGGGCGUGCGGUCGAUACGGGCAUCACUUGAGUUCGGCAGGGGAGACUGGAAUUCCUGGUGUAGCGGUGAAAUGCGCAGAUAUCAGGAGGAACACCGGUGGCGAAGGCGGGUCUCUGGGCCGAUACUGACGCUGAGGAGCGAAAGCAUGGGUAGCGAACAGGAUUAGAUACCCCUGUAGUCC